UUUAAAAGCAAAGAAAAAAGCAUCAGAAGGAGGCAGACACACUUAUCUUUGAGUGAAAAACCUUUCUUCUCUGCCCCUGGUCUUUUCUUGUCUCUUCCUGUUUCUUUUACAGCCCACUCAGGUCCUCGCUCCCCUUCUCUUGGACCUCCACCCUCUUGACUCUCCUCUCACGGUUUCUUUCUCUUUUACCCUUACAAUUGCCAACCAUUAAAAGACAAGACGGGGGGCGCCUGGUCCACUUGUCCAAGGUUGUAAGCUGAAACAAAUUGGUGGUGCCGAUCAAUGGUAAUGAUCACUACCAUGGGCUAGUAAUGGAUCCUGCCAGCCUGGGAAGAACUUGCAUAUUCAAAGAGGGCACUUUUUGGAUGAGGGGAUGGGAGAAACAGAUAAAGCAGAUUAAGAGUAUACUUAUCACGAUGAGCACUGAGAAACGUAUAGAAUUGUUGAAUCAUUAUAUUGUACACCUGACACUAAUUUAACACUGCAUGUUAAUUAAACUUGAAUAAAAAAUGAAUAACAGAAGCAAUGAAUGAACGAAUGAAUGAAUGAGACACGUUUAGCCCUUCCAGAAGGGCCUAUACCUUAAGUACGUUGCCUUAGUCAAACCUAUCUGAUCUAUCUGGAUCAACAAUGUAAGGUUAAAGAUGAUUGGGUGGAAAUAAGAGAAGGGUCCUAACCAGAGUGCAGACGUAUUGAUCCCAUGAUCUUGGCUCAUUAAUAGAAACCUCUAAUGGCCCAAGUAACCUUCUAAGUUCACUGCACAUACUAGGUUCUCCAUAGGAAAACAAAACAUCACUUUGAUGUAUGAUGACUUAUUACGAUAAUAUAUUACAGCAAAUUCUAAACAGGAAAGAAACCACUUGCAAUGUUGCCUCUCUGAAAACUUACUUUCGUCUAUUCUUUUCCAAUAUUUUCCAUAUACACAUUUUAUACAUUUGAAGCCACAGGGCACAAAUUAUUUUGUGCCCUGCUUUUUAAAAAAAUAUUAACCACGCUUCUAAGUUGGUAAGUAGUCUUCAUACUUUUUAACAGUUGUAUAAUUCCAUUGAAUGAAACAUUUAUAUAAUUCACAUAAACAUUCCAUUAUUACAAUACUGGACCUUUGAACUGUUUGGAAUAGAACCCCGGCAAGUACGUUUGUGUGUAUGAUGUUUUCACAUUGCAGAUUAUUCUUAUAAAAUAUAGCCCCAGAAGAGGUAUUAAUAUAUCAAACGUGUCAACCAUUUUACAACACAUAAUACA